GCCUAUCAGAGGUCUUCUAAAGCAAAUGCAUGGCCUGGUAGAAUCCCCUUGUCUAUUGGGUCCAUUCUGCCUGUCAGCAAUUUAGUGUUCUUUCAGAGGAAUCAGAAUCUGAAUAUUAGUCAGCACUGUACAAAAUAGAGAUACUGUCAAGGCCGUUGUUCACUUGCAGCACUGCAGCACUGGCAGAUAUAACCAAGACGAAUGUUGCUCUGACUGAACUUGACUGGAGCAAUGCAGUUAAUGGUGACCCCAAGAGUUUAUUGGGUGUGCCAGUGUCGAUGUAUUUUCUCAGAGCAUGAGCACUUCAAUCCAUCAGAACGGUAGCCUGAAUCUAAUGGCAGCAGAAGGAUAUUUUCAACGACUGGAGCCUGAUAUUUUUUUUUUUCCUGGCUGAGGACUAGAAUUCCUUGAAAAAAACAAGUGAAAUACAUCAAUCUUCUGCUUCUGCUCUCUUGCAGUAACAGAGGAGCUCCAUGAUGGCCUUACUGCCUCUGAUCUUCUCCUGUCCUCCCGCUUUUCUCUCUCUUGCUUUCUGAAAACACACUGUUUAUUCCAUGUUAGCUGGUAAAGAGCCAUCUGUGCCUGGUCACCUACUAACAAUGAGAGCUGAAUGCUCAGGCUCUUAAUGCUGUUUCAGCUUUCCUCUGCCUUGAUCUGUCUUGCCUAUGAAUGAAGUACUUCUGACUGGGAAACCAAAGAGUGUAUGCACCUGAUUCAAAACCUGUGUUUUGUGUCUGAAGGAUACAAGAUAUACUAAGAAUAUCAAGUCACAUACUUGAUAUUAUGUAAGUAGCAUGCCAUAUAUCCACUGGACAACGUGUAUCCUGACACUAAUAUUCCAAUAUUAUAACUAAGUACUCUGCAGUGAUAUUCAUGUACUCAGAGUGUCAAUAUUUUAUUUGCUACAUAGUUCAGACAUUGGAAGGACUCAAAUAGUUGCUGGAUUGUGUAUAAUUCUGCACGUAAGCACUGUUCCAAGCGCCUAUUAAAAAAAAUGAAUAGAUUCAAAAUCAGAUAUCUUCAACUUAUCAAAAACUUCUGAAAAAUAUCUGAGAUAGAAUAUAGAGAGGUAGUUUAGAAAUUGUUUAAAAGAAAAUGCAUUUUUGUCUUAAAUGUGUACAUCUACUGCCUGUGGCAUUAUUUUAUUGUUAGAGCUUCUGGAAGGUUGUGGUUAUGAGCCAUAAGAUUUACAGAAGAUGAUUAUUAGAGUGAGGAACUACUCAAGAGAUGAAUUAAAUGCAAAAUUAUUGGCACGAAAGGGAUCACCCAGGGCACUGCACGUAAACUGUCUAAGAGCAGGCUACCAAGCAGAAGAAAGCUGGUUAAGCCACUGUUCACACACGCAAGCAGCGUAAAACAUGUCCCACUUGCGACCGUGUAUGACUUGCAGGAAAUGAACAAAUGCCAGAAGAGUGUGAGAAAAAGAGGACAGAAGAGGCUGAGGAGCUGGGGUGGGCCAGGACUUUGCUGCAAAUCCCAACAAGUUGCUGCAGGCGCUGCUCUUUUCAGAAAUCAUUAGAAGAUUGGUUACAGCAAGCCAAAACUUCUGCAAAAAUUUAUCUCAAAUGGAUUGGAAGCCUUCAUGUGUCUGUUUGGAGCUGAUUUUAAUUCCAGCAAAGGGUUUGGUCUUGCAUUAACCUCAACAACCUGAUGCUGCAGAAAUCCGCUCAGACUCAAUGGGGAUGAAGUCUGCCAUUAGCGCUCUGCAAAAAGCACUUCUGCACUUCUUCCCCAUGCCUUAUAAAAAGGGUGAGAAUCAACAGUGUUGCAGCAUAUGUUUCCUGGAUGUACAGUAUUCCUUUCAUACUUGAAUAAUAAAACUGUAACAGGGCUUUUUUCCAAGAUGUUGUCCCCCUCCUCCUGCAACCACUCUGCUGAGAACAGCUUCAUUUUCUCACAGCUGUCAUCUUGUAGCCUCUUUGGUAAUAAGGUCUGCUCAAAGCACCUGCUCCUUCAGCAGCUUCUGUCAGAAGGCUUCAAGCAGAGCCAAGGGGCUACAUCUGCCUCACUUCCAAAUUUGCAAAUAGAUUGGCAACAACUGUCUCAGCCAUUCCUUGAGCUUUAUCAUAGAUAUCAAUAACUGUAGCAUUUUUUUUUCUGAUAUUUCUGUCUCUAACAAACCUGCUUGAAACCACAUUUGAGGUAGUCAGCAGCUUUUCCUUUGCGUAUCUGAAAUCCCCAAAUCUUCCUUGGGGUGGUGUAGGGCAAGAAGUGAUCAACUGAAAGACACUGGUCAGAGCCAAGGAACUUGGCAGAUGCUUGUGCCUUCAGGACUUUGACUCUGGUUUUGGUCCGUUUUGGCUAGCUUGAACAUAUCAGCAGCCCUAGAGUUUGUUUGUCAGGUUAGACUCCUCAACAUCUAGCUGCUUGUUUCCCUCAGUAGCCCCUCUUCCUAAGACCAAUGAAGAAUGACAUUAAUUCUGCCACCUUUGCCUGUAAGAAAGUCAAUAAAACAGGGAGAGAUCAUGCUGUUGGGAUGACAAAAGUGGUGUGACCUUUGCUCUACCACUGUUAGAGAUGGGUGUUAGCAGACUGAGGGCCUCUCCUGUGAGAGCAGCUACUGAACUCAUCAUAGUGGUUUAGAAUGGAAGUUAAAGAUGUUCUAGAUCCUCUUUACUGACAUCUACCUAGUGAAAUUACUCACCUUACCUCGCAGUGUAAGGCAGUUCCCUAUUAGUCUUGUCUUCAGGUCUCCAGCUCAGUAAAGGCUAGGGUGGACCCUGGAGGAGUCUUCACUUGAGGAGACAGCCCAAUCAUACUCAACAUCCAUCCAAUCCAAGAUUAAUUCUUGUUAAGAAUCUCUUAUUUUAAAAUGAAAAAUACACUUACUGGUGUCACCUUAUAAAAAAAGCAUAGGAAUUUAAAGGCCUCUGGCUGAAUUCGUCAGCACCCAGCUUGACUGAUGCAGGCAGGGAGCUGAAGAAAUAUAAACUGCCCAUCCUUUGUGCAGGAUGGCUUGGAAGAGGCAUGCAAAGAGGUGUUGAACCAGGGACAUUCAAACCACAUUUAAGUGAGCAGAUUUCUCCUCUUGGUGGUGCUCCUUUUUCACCUCCUUUCCCCCUACAUCUAUGCUGUGAAAUGUCACCUCCUCUUGCUAUCUC